UACGGAGGGUGCAAGCGUUGUCCGGAUUUAUUGGGUUUAAAGGGUGCGUAGGCGGUUCUUUAAGUCAGCGGUGAAAGUCCAGAGCUCAACUCUGGGAUUGCCAUUGAUACUGAAGAACUUGAGUAUAGUUGAGGUAGGCGGAAUUGACAGUGUAGCGGUGAAAUGCAUAGAUAUUGUCAAGAACACCGAUUGCGUAGGCAGCUUACUAAGCUAUAACUGACGCUGAGGCACGAAAGUGUGGGGAUCAAACAGG
rnacentral:rRNA from 1 species